AAGAUAUAAAGUUAUAUUAGGGGGCCGCUAACCUUCUUUUUAGCAGUUAAAUUCUGUUAAUAUCUUU
rnacentral:tRNA from 1 species